GUUUUGAAGUUGGAUUAAGGGCUCUUGAGGCAAGACCAGUUCCGAAAAUGACAGCUUGUUUAAUGCAUUAAAGGAAUGCUUAUGUCGGUGUAUCAUUGGCCUUCAUUCUUCUUGCUUAUUCCCUGAAGCUCUGCUCAUUACAAUCAAGUCGGGAUACCAGCCAAGUCUCUAUGGAGGAGGUAAAAGAAAGAACUAAGAGCCUAGUUGCCAUUCAACAUGCAGAGCCAGAGCCUCUGGCAUGAAGCAAGCUUGCGAUCAGAACAGGCACUGAAGUGAGUAUAUCCAUGAGCAGAAGCCAACGGCAAAAAGUGAGGUCAAGGUCAGCCUUUACUAGAAUGCAUGAAGAUGUCUUACAUUGGGUCAGAGAAGAUUGAGCCUGUGACCUUCAGAUGCUUUGCCACUGGGUUUGGAUGCAGAUUGUGACAACAGAGGAAACAGCAAGUGAGCUUUUGUCCCAGGGCAUUGGAUGCAUCCGGAGAGCCAUCUGAUGGAAAGAAAGAAAGAAAGAAAGAAAGAAAGAAAGAAAGAAAGAAAGAAAGAAAGAAAGAAAGAAAGAAAGAAAGAAAGAAAGAAAGAAAGAAAGAAAGAAAGAAAGAAAUGUGCCAUGGAUGCUGGUAUUUGUAGCAGAUACCAAAUGGGUUGGAAGCUGUAAUGGAAUUGAAGCCAAAACAUGGUACUGAAGUUAGUAAUAAUAGUUCUGGCGUGUACGUUACAAGCUGAUGUGAAACAUGUGUCUUGCCACAGUGGUACAACUCAUGCUUUCAGAAUUAAAGCAUGUUAGCAUGGAUUAGAUCUGAUUAUUUUGUGAAACAACCACAACAUUGCUGGCAUGCAUGCUUUUAGAUGUUUGGCAAACUCUUCCUUUUAAAGGUUCAUGCCAGAAAGUAUGGUUUCAGCUGCUGUGAACUGUUGGACAUGUUGUCAUAAUGUUUUAAGGGAACAUUAAGCCUGAGAACUCUCUGCCAUAGUUAUUUGGAAGGGGUGAAAUGUUAAAAAAACAGACAAAAAAACAAACAAAAACCCUAGCACACACAGAGAGAUACAAAAGCCUGUUCUGACCUUCUUGUUCUGAGAUUUUUUAAAAAACAAUAAAACUAAUUGGAAAAGCA